CGGCGGACGGGUUAGUAACGCGUGGGAAUAUGCCCAAAGGUACGGAAUAGCCUCUGGAAACGGAGAGUAAUACCGUAUGUGCCCUUCGGGGGAAAGAUUUAUCGCCUUUGGAUUAGCCCGCGUUAGAUUAGGUAGUUGGUGGGGUAAUGGCCUACCAAGCCUACGAUCUAUAGCUGGUUUUAGAGGAUGAUCAGCAACACUGGGACUGAGACACGGCCCAGACUCCUACGGGAGGCAGCAGUGGGGAAUCUUGGACAAUGGGGGCAACCCUGAUCCAGCCAUGCCGCGUGAGUGAUGAAGGCCUUAGGGUCGUAAAGCUCUUUCGCCUGUGAAGAUAAUGACGGUAGCAGGUAAAGAAACCCCGGCUAACUCCGUGCCAGCAGCCGCGGUAAUACGGAGGGGGUUAGCGUUGUUCGGAAUUACUGGGCGUAAAGCGCACGUAGGCGGAUCGGAAAGUUGGGGGUGAAAUCCCGGGGCUCAACCCCGGAACUGCCUCCAAAACUAUCGGUCUAGAGUUCGAGAGAGGUGAGUGGAAUUCCGAGUGUAGAGGUGAAAUUCGUAGAUAUUCGGAGGAACACCAGUGGCGAAGGCGGCUCACUGGCUCGAUACUGACGCUGAGGUGCGAAAGUGUGGGGAGCAAACAGGAUUAGAUACCCUGGUAGUCCACAC
rnacentral:rRNA from 1 species